AGGGAAUCUUCCACAAUGGGCGCAAGCCUGAUGGAGCAACACCGCGUGAGUGAAGAAGGGUUUCGGCUCGUAAAGCUCUGUUGUUAAAGAAGAACACGUAUGAGAGCAACUGUUCAUACGUUGACGGUAUUUAACCAGAAAGUCACGGCUAACUACGUGCCAGCAGCCGCGGUAAU
rnacentral:rRNA from 1 species